UCCUGCCAGUAGUCAUAUGCUUGUCUCAAAGAUUAAGCCAUGCAAGUCUAAGUAUAAAUCAAUUUAUAUAGUAAAACUGCGGAUGGCUCAUUAAAUCAGUUAUAGUUUAUUUGACAAACUCUUUUACUUGGAUAACUGUAGUAAAUCUAGAGCUAAUACAUGCGAAAAGAUCUGGUUUCAUCUUUGAUGAAAGAAGAUUGUAUUUAUUAGACUAAAAACCAUGAUCUCUUUCUUAGUAUAUAUGAAACGGAGUUCUCUUUCGUGUUUAACGGCAUAUAUAUAUAAAAAAAAAAUUAAGAAGUUAAGGAACACACUGGACUAAAAGUUGUCUAUCGAAAGAUUAUAAAAAAAACAAUGUAAUAAGAAAAGGAAAAAAAUUAAGAUACUUAAACAUAUAUAUAUAUGUCCUCUAUCGAAAGACAACAAAGUUUUGUCAUAUAGUAAGAAGGUAAAUUGUAUAAUGGUGAUUCAUAAUAACUUAGCGAAUCGCAUUAGCCUUUGCGCUGGCGAUGGUACAUUCAAAUUUCUGCCCUAUCAACUUGAUGGUACGGUAGAGGCCUACCAUGGUUUUUACGGGUGACGGAGAAUUAGGGUUCGGUUCCGGAGAGGGAGCCUGAGAGAUGGCUACCACUUCUAAGGAAGGCAGCAGGCGCGCAAAUUACCCAAUCCUGAUACAGGGAGGUAGUGACAAGAAAUAACAAUACAAAUAAAUAACAAUGCAGGCUCUCUACGAGGGCUUGUAAUUGGAAUGAGUACAGCGUAAAUAACUUAACGAGGAACAAUUGGAGGACAAGUCUGGUGCCAGCACCCGCGGUAAUUCCAGCUCCAAUAGCGUAUAUUAAAGUUGUUGCAGUUAAAAAGCUCGUGGCCUUCUGCUCUUAACUGGGUGGUUGGUUGCGCCGAGACGUUUACCUUGAAAAAAUUAGAGUGUUCAAAGCAGGCUACUAGCUAGCCCUGAAUAGAUUAGCAUGGGAUAAUGGAAUACGACGUUGUUCGGUUUCGUUGGUUUACGGACGGCGUAAUGAUCAAUAGGACUGAUCGGGGUUAUUCAUAUUUAAUUGUCAGAGGUGAAAUUCUUAGAUUCUUUAAAGAUGAACGAGGGCGAAAGCAUCUAACAAGGGUGCUUCCAUUGAUCAAGAACGAAAGUUAAGGGAUCGAAGACGAUCAGAUACCGUCGUAGUCUUAACCUUAAACUAUGCGGACCAAUAAUCGGGUCUCGUUAUUCGUACGACCCUCUCGGCGAUUUGUGGGAAACCACGAGUCUUUGCGUUCUGGGGGGAGUAUGGUCGCAAGGCUGAAACUUAAAGGAAUUGACGGAAGGGCACACCAGGAGUGGAGCCUGCGGCUUAAUUUGACCCAA
rnacentral:rRNA from 1 species